UUUAGCUGGAGACAGCUUCUAGAAUGACCAGCCCAGGAUCCAGUAGGACUUGCUGGAGCCACACAGAGGCCUUGCUAAACUAAAAUUAUGAAUUCGCAGGCUGUGCUACGAACCCAUUAGGCUAUGUUGCUUUAAACUCGGGUCAGCCAACCAAAAGGUGGAUGCAAAAGACUUUCUUUAAACAAGCCAGCAGCUUGAGGCUUGAAAUAGAACAGAAAGGGAAUUCACAGGACUCAACCUUGUCUUCUGUCUGGAGCUCUUGAGACCCAAGGAUACUGGCCAGGCGAACCACACUGCGAUAAGAAACAGCAGCUGAAAGUUUGUUUUUGGAGCCACCAGAUCCAGUGGGUGGACUGUGUCUUGAAAUAGAAGCAUCUCAAAGGCCUGUGAAUCAUUUCUUAGUGCCGGCCUGCAAGGUUUCAUAUCCUGUUCUCAGAGCUACCUUGGGUGCUCUGGAAGAAUUUUUCAAAUGGUUUUUGCGAGAAAGUUCAAACCCUGGAAUGACUAAGUCGCUGGAAGAAUUUGGACUUUGUGAGGGGAAUUUGCACUUGGUAUGAAUCACCCAGUCACUGAUUCCUGCAGUGAGAAGACCUUUCGGAAAGCUUCUGGGUCAGCCCCCUCGUACACAUGGGGAAACCGAGGCUCAAGGAGGGGAAGGACUUCAGCCAAGGUCCCACAGCAUGUCUGUGGAAAUGACAGGACUGGAAUCAGGUCUAGCUCCUGGAACAGCUUUGGAUUUGCAAGAAGCUCUCAAGCACCCAGUCUCCAUAGGUGGGCACAUUUUCCAAACAGUAGAGGAACAGAAAGAACAAGAGGGUUCUGAGGAGUUAGAACUCACCAUAGAGUUAUGGAAGGAAUGGGGAAGGGAUUGCCGGAAGGUAUUUUAUAUGAAAUAGCUCAUUUAAUCCUCCCCAGGAUCCUAUUAGGCAGUGGUUCUAAACUAGGGUUGAUUUUGCCCCCAGAGGACAUUUGGCAAGAUCAGGGGACAUUUUAGGUUUGUCACAGCUUGAGUGGGAGUUGCUACUGGCAUCUCUUGGCAGUGAAUACCCUAUGUGGUAGAGGCCAGGGAUACCGCUAAACAUCCUGCAAUGCACAGGACAGCCUCACAACAAAGAAUUAUCCAGCCCAAAAUGUCAAUAGUGUUGGGUCUGAGAAGCCCUGCUAUGCAGAGGGCGCUUGUAUAUACAUAUCAAUUUAACAGCCAAGAAAGCCGAGGCUCAGAAAGUGUAGCCACUCGCUAGCCACGUGGUCUUGGGCAAAUUAGCCUCUCUGUGUCUCAGUUUCCUUAUCUGUAAAAUGGAGGCAACAGUACCUCUGUUACCUAAAUAAACAUUUGUAAAGCACUUAGAAUGGUGCCUGGCACAUAGUGUUACAUGAAUGUUUGCUAAAAAUAUAUAAACAAGCUUACCCAGGAAACACGGAAAGUAAAAGAAUUGUAAUGAAAGCCCAGGUGAAAAAAAUCUAAAGAGACUUAAGGACAUGGGGGCUGGAAUAUGAGAGACCUCCUGGGGGUGUACAGCCCUGUGAGCAGGUAAGGCUGUCCACCGUGUGACAUCCUAUGUUCCCUGCCACCCCCCACCACCAGUAGCCAUGAGGUUUUCCUUCUCAGACACUGCUACCUUAAAUGCACUUCAUCUUUUUAGGUUAAAAUGAUAUGCACUUCAACAUGAAUCUCCUUGGCAAGUAUCUGACACAGUAAGCCACUAUCAGUCACUAAGAAUAAUUCAGGAUAAAUUAGUUUUUCAGUUGCCUCCCAACAAAUAGGCCGAAUGCAGGUUAUACUGAGAGUGGAAGGUAAACAGAGGCUGACAGCUUAGUGUUCAGAGGCAGGCUUAGGACAGUGCUGGCAGGUGCACAGUUGUCCUCAGCAAUCCUAGACCAUCAGUCAUUCCCCUACCAGCCAGCACCACCUAGAACAGGCCUCAAGUCUGGGCCCUGCCUAGCUUUGCACCCCCUUUCAGAACCUGCUCCUGACCCUCCCCCACCUUCAGCUCUCCUGGUCUUUUUACUCAGUCUGGGGCCUAUUCCCUACUUUCCCACUUUGACCUCUAAUCCUGUCCUCAGUCAGAGCCCAGAUUCCUCCACCAGCUGCUGAGACCUGCCAACUUGCUAAGUGAUUGCCCUACUCAAUGCUGAAGGCCUGACAUAUCAGCCCGGCUCUCUCAGCAAGCCCCAGGGCUGUGAAGGAAACUGGGCAGAGGGUGUCACAAGAGUGGAGGGAGAAAAAACCAAAGCAAGGGUCACCCAUAUCUCUACUCUGCCCAGAACCCGCCUGCUACGCCUAUUCAUUAGAACAUUCAUGGCCAUUUACCGAGCUCUUUAAGCUAUGAGUCUUGCACACUUACAACAGCUCUCACAGCUGUGCCCCACUCCCCCAUCCCUGGAGACCUACAAGGGCCCAUAUUAACUGUAUUACUUCUCUAUUGCUGCUAUAACAAAAUGACUACAAACUUAGUCACUUAAAACAACUUAAGUUUAUGCUCUCAAACCAACCUGAUCUCACUGGGCUAAAAUCAGGGUGUUUGCAGGGACUUCCCUUUCGGAGAAUCUGGAAGAUAAUUGAUUUCCUUGCCUUUUCCAGCUUCUGGAGGCUGCCAACAUUCCUUGGGUUGUGACCCCUUCCUUCAUUUUCAAAGCCAGCAACAUGGCAUCUCUCUGACCCUGUUUUCGUGGUUGCCUCUCUUUCUCUGACUCUUUUCUGCUGCCCUCUCCCACUUUUAAGGACCCUUCUGAUUCCAUUGGACCCACCUAGAUAAUCCUGCAUAGCAACCUUCAUUCCAUCUGCAAACUUAAUUCCCACUUGCCGUGUAACAGUACAUUCACAAAUUAUAGGGAUUAGGACACAGACAUCUUUGGAGGUGACUAUGAUCCUGCCUACCAUGUUAACCAACCCAGAGUGGCGGGGACCAUACAACCCAGAGAGCUUGUGCUCCUUCUCAAGGGAGCAACUGCUGCUCAGCUCCAGCUGUCAUCAUCAUGCAUCAGUAUGGGUUCAGUGUGGCUGAGUCUGCCAAUAUUUCAAGUGAAAUCAGAAAAUUGGACUUUCAGGUGAAGAUUUCCAAUUCUGACAUCACUGUGCAGACCAAAAAAGAACAAAAAAUCUCAUAGGCUAGAUAUAGCCUGAAGCCACCCAGGUGUGACCUCUGGGUCCACCUCUACCACAUCAGCUGUGUGAGAUGAUGAGAUUUCUCUGGCAUUUACAGGCUCUGCAGGUUCUGGGGGAUGGAGAACCAGUCAGGCCUAGAGGCCAGAGAGAAUGUGGUCAGGAGCAUAGCGGGUACUGAAGGGGGUGCCUCAGGGGAAAGUUCAGAGGGAGAAGGGACUGACCAUCUCCCUAAGGGACUAACCAUCACCUGCAGGAAGCAGCAGUGCCUCAAAGGGUACAGGAAAUCAGGCUGAGGCCGACCUGAAGAAAUCAACCAGAGUAAGGUGGGCUUUAUGGCUUGUGACCUCAGAACAAAUCAAGCACACUCUUUCUACUUUCAAAAAGUAUCAGUUCUUCCCCUCCCCACAAAAC
rnacentral:lncRNA from 10 species